rnacentral:rRNA from 1 species
UACGAAGGGGGGCUAGCGUUGCUCGGAAUCACCGGGCGUAAAGCGCACGUAGGCGGGUUCUUAAGUCGGUGGUGAAAUCCUGGAGCUCAACUCCAGAACUGCCUCCGAUACUGAGAGCCUCGAGUCCGGGAGAGGUGAGUGGAACUGCGAGUGUAGAGGUGAAAUUCGUAGAUAUUCGCAAGAACACCAGUGGCGAAGGCGGCUCACUGGCCCGGUACUGACGCUGAGGUGCGAAAGCGUGGGGAGCAAACAGG